rnacentral:rRNA from 1 species
UACGGAGGGGGCUAGCGUUGUUCGGAAUUACUGGGCGUAAAGCGCGUGUAGGCGGUUAUGCAAGUCGGGUGUGAAAGCCCGGAGCUCAACUCCGGAAGUGCAUUCGAUACUGCGUAGCUAGAGUACUGGAGAGGAUGGUGGAACUCUCGGUGUAGAGGUGAAAUUCGUAGAUAUCGAGAAGAACACCGGUGGCGAAGGCGGCCAUCUGGACAGAUACUGACGCUGAGGCGCGAAAGCGUGGGGAGCAAACAGG